rnacentral:lncRNA from 1 species
UAGAUGAAGUAUGCUGGAAGAAUGCAGGUCAGACCAGCCCCAGAGGACUUCCCAGCAACCCAUGAAAGCCUCUUCCCAGCAGGGUCCCAAGAGUCAUCCCGGCAAGGCCAACUUCAGACCCUGAAGGAGGAGGCUUCUCUCAGAUUCACACAUCAUGACCAAGAGCCUCACAGGGCUUGACCAAGAGGAGCCCAGGCCUUGUCCUGUAAGUCAACAAGCUCCAGCAUGGUGGGCAGAGAACACACGCAAAGUUGCUUUAAUUCAGCAUCACGCAGCCUUGUACACCC